UACCGUAGAGUAGCAACGACGGUUGUCCGGAACUUAAGGUUAGGGCGGUAAAGGGUACGCAGGCGGAUAGUAAAGUCAAGCGUGAAAGGUGUCGGCUUAACCGGACAGACUGCGGUUUGAAACUGAUUAGUCUUGAGUGUAACAGAGGAGAGUGGAAUUCCUAGGUGUAGUGGUGAAAUACGUAGAUAUUAGGAAGAACACCAGUGGCGAAGGCGACUCUCUGGGUUAACACUGACGCUGAGGUACGAAAGCUGGGGGAGCAAACGGGGAUUAGAUACCCGCGUAGU
rnacentral:rRNA from 1 species